ensembl:lncRNA
AUUGAAGCAGCCAUUACCAGGAGGAAAUUCAGCGCUUAAGAAGGUACUAUGGUGUCCCCAUAACUGAGCAGUUGCAUAAUUGGGACAGUUUGAAGAAUGCUCAAGCUUUAAAAACCUAACAAGAAGUUCAAGCUUUCUUGAAGAUUUAUGGAGAAGGAUGACAAUGUUGCUCCUUCCGCUUCCACCACCACAAGAGACCUGCAGUUCUUGUUUCUGGCGCUCAGAUCCAUACCAGAAAACCAGAAUAUCAGCACAGUAAUAACAGCUGGCUAGAGCCCUGCUCUCUCUUCAGCCCUGCAGCUGUUCUCCCAUGUCACUUUAACUUUGUCUACAUUGUCGUAGUAUUCAUGAGUUCCAAAAAUAUAUUAUAAAAGUGGAAUAAAAGUGUGACACCUAUUUCCUCUUGCUUCCUCACUAUGGUCUUCUGUCAGUUUAGUCACAGAAGUAAAAAUAGAACCAAUUAUGAGGAAGGGAUGUCACAUGGAAGUAGCUUGAUAUUGUAUAUCCCAGUAAAAUAAUAGCAGCAAGGGUGUGCCCAAUUUCUAUAUCUGCUAAGAGAAAUGGCCUCUUGCAAACACUGUUCAGAAAGUUUGACUAAUUGCCAGCAUCAGAUGAAUAACAAAAUGCUGUCAAUAAAAGAAAUGAUUCUGUUCCUGUUAGCAACAGGGAAAACUGGCAGGAUUAGACCCGAAAGAGAGAGUAAUACAAAGGUCAUAUAUCUGAUUUCAGUCACAUAGAAGGAUUAUUGAUUUAUUCGAGGGUUACUGAAAUGAAGCUCUGGCUCAUGGUUCAGGUGAAGAUGGGAGG